AUUGAACGCUGGCGGCAUGCCUUACACAUGCAAGUCGAACGGCAGCAUAGGAGCUUGCUCCUGAUGGCGAGUGGCGAACGGGUGAGUAAUAUAUCGGAACGUGCCCUAGAGUGGGGGAUAACUAGUCGAAAGACUAGCUAAUACCGCAUACGAUCUACGGAUGAAAGUGGGGGAUCGCAAGACCUCAUGCUCCUGGAGCGGCCGAUAUCUGAUUAGCUAGUUGGUGGGGUAAAAGCCUACCAAGGCGACGAUCAGUAGCUGGUCUGAGAGGACGACGAGCCACACUGGGACUGAGACACGGCCCAGACACCUACGGGAGGCAGCAGUGGUGAAUUUUGGACAAUGGGGGCAACCCUGAUCCAGCAAUGCCGCGUGAGUGAAGAAGGCCUUCGGGUUGUAAAGCUCUUUUGUCAGGGAAGAAACGGUAGUAGCUAAUAUCUACUACUAAUGACGGUACCUGAAGAAUAAGCACCGGCUAACUACGUGCCAGCCGCCGCCGUAA
rnacentral:rRNA from 1 species